AGGCCAUCCCCGGGGUGCCACGAGGCUGAGAGCGCGGUAGAAGUCCGCGAGACCCGUCGAACCUGAACCGAUUAGCAUCGGCGGAGGGAGUGGCUGGUCAUCCGUU
rnacentral:ncRNA from 2 species